AUUGAACGCUGGCGGCAUGCCUUACACAUGCAAGUCGAACGGCAGCACGGGAGCAAUCCUGGUGGCGAGUGGCGAACGGGUGAGUAAUAUAUCGGAACGUGCCCGGUCGUGGGGAUAACGUAGCGAAAGCUACGCUAAUACCGCAUACGAUCUACGGAUGAAAGCGGGGGAUCGCAAGACCUCGCGCGAUUGGAGCGGCCGAUAUCAGAUUAGGUAGUUGGUGAGGUAAAGGCUCACCAAGCCGACGAUCUGUAGCUGGUCUGAGAGGACGACCAGCCACACUGGGACUGAGACACGGCCCAGACUCCUACGGGAGGCAGCAGUGGGGAAUUUUGGGACAAUGGGCGCAAGCCUGAUCCAGCAAUGCCGCGUGCAGGAUGAAGGCCUCGGUGUAACUGNUUUGUUACGGUAACGAACGGUAGAGC
rnacentral:rRNA from 1 species